rnacentral:rRNA from 1 species
UACGUAGGGUGCGAGCGUUGUCCGGAAUUAUUGGGCGUAAAGGGCUCGUAGGCGGUUUGUCGCGUCGGGAGUGAAAACACGGGGCUUAACCCCGUGCCUGCUUCCGAUACGGGCAGACUAGAGUGUGGUAGGGGAGAUCGGAAUUCCUGGUGUAGCGGUGAAAUGCGCAGAUAUCAGGAGGAACACCGGUGGCGAAGGCGGAUCUCUGGGCCAUUACUGACGCUGAGGAGCGAAAGCGUGGGGAGCGAACAGG